rnacentral:rRNA from 1 species
GCGAAAGCCUGACCCAGCAACGCCGCGUGAAGGAAGAAGGUCUUCGGAUGUAAACUUCUUUUAUGAGGGACGAAGGACGCGACGGUACCUCAUGAAUAAGCCACGGCUAACUACGUGCCAGCAGCCGCGGUAAUACGUAGGUGGCAAGCGUUAUCCGGAUUUACUGGGUGUAAAGGGCGCGUAGGCGGGGAUGCAAGUCAGAUGUGAAAUCUAUGGGCUUAACCCAUAAACUGCAUUUGAAACUGUAUCUCUUGAGUGCUGGAGAGGUAGACGGAAUUCCUUGUGUAGCGGUGAAAUGCGUAGAUAUAAGGAAGAACACCAGUGGCGAAGGCGGUCUACUGGACAGUAACUGACGCUGAGGCGCGAGAGCGUGGGGAGCAAACAGGAUUAGAUACCCUGGUAGUCCACGCUGUAAACGAUGAAUACUAGGUGUGGGGGGACUGACCCCUUCCGUGCCGCAGUUAACACAAUAAGUAUUCCACCUGGGGAGUACGACCGCAAGGUUGAAACUCAAAGGAAUUGACGGGGGCCCGCACAAGCAGUGGAUUAUGUGGUUUAAUUCGACGCAACGCGAAGAACCUUACCAGGAUUUGACAUCCAACUAACGAAGCAGAGAUGCAUUAGGUGCCCUUCGGGGAAAGUUGAGACAGGUGGUGCAUGGUUGUCGUCAGCUCGUGUCGUGAGAUGUUGGGUUAAGUCCCGCAACGAGCGCAACCCCUAUUGUUAGUUGCUACGAAAGAGCACUCUAGCGAGACUGCCGUUGACAAAACGGAGGAAGGCGGGGACGAUGUCAAAUCAUCAUGCCCCUUAUGUCCUGGGCUACACACGUAAUACAAUGGUGGCCAACAGAGGGAAGCGAAGCCGCGAGGCGGAGCGAAUCCCCAAAAGCCAUCUCAGUUCGGAUUGCAGGCUGCAACUCGCCUGCAUGAAGCUGGAAUGCUAGUAAU